CGCGUAGGUGGUAGUGUAAGUCUGGGGUGGAAUCCCAGGGCUUAAACCCUGGAACUGCCUUGGAAACUGUAUUACUUGAGUCAGUGAGGGGAGGGUAGAAUUCCUGGUGUAGCGGUGAAAUGCGUAGAUAUCAGGAGGAAGGCCUGUGGCGAAGGCGGCCCUCUGGCGCUGGACUGACACUGAGGCGCGAAAGCGUGGGGAGCAAACAGGAUUAGAUACCCUGGUAGUCCACGCCCUAAACGGUGGGCACUAGGUGUAGGGCUCGUAAGGGUUCUGUGCCGAAGGGAAACCAUUAAGUGCCCCGCCUGGGGAGUACGGCCGCAACGGUUGAA
rnacentral:rRNA from 1 species